AACAUUUGUCCAGUCGGUGAAUCCCAGCUUCAUACGCAGAAGGUGCGGGUUCGAGCCCCGUACGUGUUG